rnacentral:misc_RNA from 1 species
UCCGAGUUGACCCCGGCAGUCUCCCAUGAGUCCCCACCAUCACGUGCUGGCAACAUGGAACGAGGGUUGCGCUCGUUGCGGGACUUAACCCAACAUCUCACGACACGAGCUGACGACAACCAUGCACCACCUGUAUACCGACCCCAAAGGGGAAGAACCAUCUCUGGAACGAUCCGGUAUAUGUCAAGCCUUGGUAAGGUUCUUCGCGUUGCAUCGAAUUAAUCCGCAUGCUCCGCCGCUUGUGCGGGCCCCCGUCAAUUCCUUUGAGUUUUAGCCUUGCGGCCGUACUCCCCAGGCGGGGCACUUAAUGCGUUAGCUACGGCGCGGAAAACGUGGAAUGUCCCCCACACCUAGUGCCCAACGUUUACGGCAUGGACUAC